UACGAAGGGGGCGAGCGUUGUUCGGAGUUACUGGGCGUAAAGGGCGCGUAGGCGGCGAUCCAAGUUAGGCGUGAAAGCCCCGGGCUUAACCUGGGAAUAGCGCUUAAGACUGGACUGCUUGAGUGCGGGAGAGGUGAGUGGAAUUCCCAGUGUAGAGGUGAAAUUCGUAGAUAUUGGGAAGAACACCAGUGGCGAAGGCGGCUCACUGGCCCGCAACUGACGCUGAGGCGCGAAAGCGUGGGGAGCAAACCGG
rnacentral:rRNA from 1 species